rnacentral:rRNA from 1 species
CUCCUGCAGCGGCAGGAUCUCUUGGUUCUGGCAUCGAUGAAGAACGCAGCGAAAUGCGAUAAGUAAUGUCGAGGCCCACCGAUACCAGGAUCGAAGAGUCGACAGCUGCUCCUGCAGCGGCAGGCUCGCGCAUGACCGUCA